GAUGAACGCUAGCGGCAGGCCUAAUACAUGCAAGUCGAACGGUGUCUUCGGACAUAGUGGCGCACGGGUGCGUAACACGUAUGCAACCUACCUUACAUUGGGGGAUAGCCUUUCGAAAGGGAGAUUAAUACCGCAUAAGACAGUAGCUGGGCAUCCAGCAGCUGUUAAAGAUUUAUCGAUGUAAGCUGGGCAUGCGUCCAAUUAGCUAGUUGGUGAGGUAACGGCUCACCAAGGCAAUGAUUGGUAGGGGAACUGAGAGGUCAAUCCCCCACACGGGCACUGAGAUACGGGCCAGACUCCUACGGGAGGCAGCAGUAGGGAAUAUGGGGCAAUGGACGCAAGUCUGACCCAGCCAUGCCGCGUGCAGGAUGAAGGCGUUAUGCGUUGUAAACUGCUUUUAUACAGGAAGAAACGACUCUUGCGAGAGGCAUUGACGGUACUGUAUGAAUAAGCACCGGCUAACUCCGUGCCAGCCGCCGCAGUAAUAC
rnacentral:rRNA from 1 species